AUUGAACGCUGGCGGCAGGCCUAACACAUGCAAGUCGAACGAGUGGCGGACGGGUGAGUAAUGUCUGGGAAACUGCCUGAUGGAGGGGGAAAAUUACUGGAAGCGGUGGCUAAUACCGCAAACCAUUGGAUGUGCCCAGAUGGGAUUGUCUUGUUGGUGGGGUAACGGCUCACCAAGGCGACGAUCCCUAGCUGGUCGGAGAGGAUGACCAGCCAACCUGGAACUGAGGCACGGUCCAGACUCCUACGGGAGGCAGCAGUGGGGAAUAUUGGACCAUUGGCGCAAGCCUGAUUCAGCCAUGCCGCGUGUAUGAAGAAGGCCUUCGGGUUGUAAAGCACUUUCAGUGGGGAAGCGUUACCCGCAGAAGAAGCACCGGCUAACUACGUGCCAGCCGCCGCGGUAAUUC
rnacentral:rRNA from 1 species